GACGAACGCUGGCGGCGUGCUUAACACAUGCAAGUCGAACGGAAAGGCCCUGCUUUUGUGGGGUGCUCGAGUGGCGAACGGGUGAGUAACACGUGAGUAACCUGCCCUUUACUUUGGGAUAACUUCAGGAAGCUGGGGCUAAUACCAGAUAGGAGCUCCUGCUGCAUGGUGGGGGUUGGAAAGUUUCGGCGGUUGGGGAUGGACUCGCGGCUUAUCAGCUUGUUGGUGGGGUAGUGGCUUACCAAGGCUUUGACGGGUAGCCGGCCUGAGAGGGUGACCGGCCACAUUGGGACUGAGAUACGGCCCAGACUCCUACGGGAGGCAGCAGUGGGGAAUAUUGCACAAUGGGAGGAAGCCUGAUGAAGCAACGCCGCGUGCGGGAUGACGGCCUUCGGGUUGUAAACCGCUUUCGCCUGUGACGAAGCGUGAGUGACGGUAAUGGGUAAAGAAGCACCGGCUAACUACGUG
rnacentral:rRNA from 1 species